AGAGUGUUUGUUUAAAAAACGACGAAAAUGAAUAAGAGUAUAUCAAUUUUUAAACAAGAGUUUAAACUAUCCAGUGAACCUAACUCAUCAGUCAUCACUAUAUUUAGGUAAUAAUCAUUAAAAGUAAAAACAAAGAAAAUAUUUGUUUAUAUUUUGCUUAUUGUUAUUAGUUUCUAAUUUAUUAUUCAUGAUAUGUUUAUAAUAUUUUAUGAGUUAAAUCAAUACUCGAUUGUUGGUUUUAUCAAUCUCUGUU